rnacentral:tRNA from 1 species
UUGUGGCUCAGUGGUAGAGUGCUUGCCUAGCAUGUGUGAGGUACUGGGUUCAAACCUCACAUAAA